AGGCCAGUCACACCAACGGCACGUAAUCAUCUCGCACAACAAGCAUCCAGUAUCAGCCGCAGCAUCAGUAUUCAACCUUGCAUCACACGGUGGAAAAGCAUUGCAGCAAUUCGAGGAGCAAAAACAGCACCGAGCCAUAGCGGUGAGGACGAAAGGGGACGUGUCCAGCCUCGCAACAUCACAGGUUACUCAAUCAAGAA
rnacentral:rRNA from 1 species